CUAUGGAGAAUCGUUUCCUGCAAYGGAAACAUUCAAAUAUGAAGCGUAAGCUUCAAAAA
rnacentral:misc_RNA from 1 species